rnacentral:rRNA from 1 species
UCCAUAGGUUAAUGAGGCGAACCGGGGGAACUGAAACAUCUAAGUACCCCGAGGAAAAGAAAUCAACCGAGAUUCCCCCAGUAGCGGCGAGCGAACGGGGAGGAGCCCAGAGCCUGAAUCAGCAUGUGUGUUAGUGGAAGCGUCUGGAAAGGCGCGCGAUACAGGGUGACAGCCCCGUACACAAAAGCGCAUGUGCUGUGAGCUCGAUGAGUAGGGCGGGACACGUGGUAUCCUGUCUGAAUAUGGGGGGACCAUCCUCCAAGGCUAAAUACUCCUGACUGACCGAUAGUGAACCAGUACCGUGAGGGAAAGGCGAAAAGAACCCCGGCGAGGGGAGUGAAAAAGAACCUGAAACCGUGUACGUACAAGCAGUGGGAGCACCCUUCGGGGUGUGACUGCGUACCUUUUGUAUAAUGGGUCAGCGACUUAUAUUCUGUAGCAAGGUUAACCGUAUAGGGGAGCCGGAGGGAAACCGAGUCUUAAUUGGGCGUUAAGUUGCAGGGUAUAGACCCGAAACCCGGUGAUCUAGCCAUGGGCAGGUUGAAGGUUGGGUAACACUAACUGGAGGACCGAACCGACUAAUGUUGAAAAAUUAGCGGAUGACCUGUGGCUGGGGGUGAAAGGCCAAUCAAACCGGGAGAUAGCUGGUUCUCCCCGAAAGCUAUUUAGGUAGCGCCUCGUGAAUUCAUCUCCGGGGGUAGAGCACUGUUUCGGCUAGGGGGCCAUCCCGGCUUACCAACCCGAUGCAAACUGCGAAUACCGGAGAAUGUUAUCACGGGAGACACACGGCGGGUGCUAACGUCCGUCGUGAAGAGGGAAACAACCCAGACCGCCAGCUAAGGUCCCAAAGUCAUGGUUAAGUGGGAAACGAUGUGGGAAGGCCCAGACAGCCAGGAUGUUGGCUUAGAAGCAGCCAUCAUUUAAAGAAAGCGUAAUAGCUCACUGGUCGAGUCGGCCUGCGCGGAAGAUGUAACGGGGCUAAACCAUGCACCGAAGCUGCGGCAGCGAACGUAUCACCCAAGACAACUUUACGGAGUUGACGAUUGACGGAGCGAAGCGACGUCAAAGCGUUCAUUAAAGUCGAGUUGGCUUAGGGAUACGUUCGUUGGGUAGGGGAGCGUUCUGUAAGCCUGUGAAGGUGUGUCGUGAGGCAUGCUGGAGGUAUCAGAAGUGCGAAUGCUGACAUAAGUAACGAUAAAGCGGGUGAAAAGCCCGCUCGCCGGAAGACCAAGGGUUCCUGUCCAACGUUAAUCGGGGCAGGGUGAGUCGACCCCUAAGGCGAGGCCGAAAGGCGUAGUCGAUGGGAAACGGGUUAAUAUUCCCGUACUUGGUGUUACUGCGAAGGGGGGACGGAGAAGGCUAUGUUGGCCGGGCGACGGUUGUCCCGGUUUAAGCGUGUAGGUGUGUGUUCCAGGUAAAUCCGGUUCACUUUAACACUGAGGCGUGACGACGA